AGGCGGCUCUGUGACGGAGGACAGUAAACACGUGGGUUUGGAUAACGAGAUAAAUUGAGCGUGAGCCUCAUUAACAGCCUCUCUUCCUGGUGUCGGUGCUGGUGGUCGGUCGGUCGUGUACCGACGGACAGACAACGGACGAACCACGCGUGUGACGCUUCAUUCCCGGAUUUGACGAGCCCGAGCUGGAUGCGUCUCGAUAAGGUAAUUUGGACACGGCAUGAACUGCUGGAUCGCCCCAGUGUGGAUUUUUUUUUUUGAAGUUUAAAAGGACUAAUGUUUAUACUGUUAAUCUGUAGAGUAACUUGAUGGAAAAUGUUAACUGUCUUUAAUGUGUAUGUACAUAAGCUCCAAAUCCUCUUGUUACAUGACCUGUAUGAACUUUAAAUUUAUUGGUAAAUAAAGUGUUGUAUAUUAAACAA